rnacentral:rRNA from 1 species
GAUGAACGCUGGCGGCGUGCCUAAUACAUGCAAGUCGAGCGAACAGACGAGGAGCUUGCUCCUCUGACGUUAGCGGCGGACGGGUGAGUAACACGUGGAAACCUACCUAUAAGACUGGGAUAACUUCGGGAAACCGGAGCUAAUACCGGAUAAUAUAUUGAACCGCAUGGUUCAAUAGUGAAAGACGGUUUUGCUGUCACUUAUAGAUGGAUCCGCGCCGCAUUAGCUAGUUGGUAAGGUAACGGCUUACCAAGGCAACGAUGCGUAGCCGACCUGAGAGGGUGAUCGGCCACACUGGAACUGAGACACGGUCCAGACUCCUACGGGAGGCAGCAGUAGGGAAUCUUCCGCAAUGGGCGAAAGCCUGACGGAGCAACGCCGCGUGAGUGAUGAAGGUCUUCGGAUCGUAAAACUCCGUUAUUAGGGAAGAACAAAUGUGUAAGUAACUAUGCACGUCUUGACGGUACCUAAUCAGAAAGCCACGGCUAACUACGUG